AGGGGGAGGUAGUAUACCACCAAAGGAGGAUCUUCACUAGGUCAUUUCUGCUGUGGAGGGCGAGCCUUGCCCGUGGAUUCUCUAUUACAAAGGAUGACGAAGGAAGAAAGUAGAUAGAGUAAGAGACUUCGUUGAAAGCUAGAUCUAGCCGACGUGAUCGUGAACCAUAAGCUGAGAGGGGAAGAUAGGAAGAGAGUUGGAGGAGAAAGGGAGGAAGGGGGAAAGAAAGAGAAUGGGGAAGAGAGGGAGGGAAGGAAAAGAGAGGGAAGAGGAGGGAGGCCUCAACAAAAGCCGAAUCUUGCUGAUGAGACCAUGAACUAGGGGCUGAGAGAGGAAGAUAAAAAGAGAGUUGGAAGAGGAGAGAGAAGAGAGAUUAAGGGGGAAAGAAAAAGGAUGUGGAUGAGAGGAAUGGAAGGGGGGAGAG
rnacentral:lncRNA from 1 species